GACGAACGCUGGCGGCGUGCCUAAUACAUGCAAGUCGAGCGGACAGAUGGGAGCUUGCUCCCUGAAGUCAGCGGCGGACGGGUGAGUAACACGUGGGCAACCUGCCUGUAAGAUUGGGAUAACUUCGGGAAACCGGAGCUAAUACCGGAUAACAUCAAGGACCACAUGGUCCUUGAUUGAAAGAUGGCUUCGGCUAUCACUUACAGAUGGGCCCGCGGCGCGUUAGCUAGUUGGUGAGGUAACGGCUCACCAAGCGGACGCUGCGUAGCCGACCGGGGAGGGUGAUCGGCCACGUUGGGAGUGGGACACGGUGCCGACUCCUACGGGGGGCAGAGGUAGGGAAGCUUCCGCAAUGGGCGAAAGUGUGAGGGAGCAACGCCGCGUGAGUGAUGAAGGCUUGCGGGUCGUAAGACUCUGUUGUUAGGGAAGAAGAAGUACCGUUCGAAUAGGGCGGUACCUUGACGGUACCCAACCAGAAAGCCACGGCUAACUAGGGGCCAGCAGCCGCGGUAACAC
rnacentral:rRNA from 1 species